rnacentral:tRNA from 1 species
UGGGGAGUAGCCAAGUGGUAAGGCAGCGGGCUUUGGUCCCGCCAUUCGAGGGUUCGAAUCCUUCCUCCCCAACCA